ACUCACCAUGGUUGUCCUUUUAAUUUAGUUAUCAUACACUAAUUCAGUUUAUCAAUUCCUUGUAGUUAAUCAGAAAACUGUCCCAAAAACAAGAGUUUCUCUUCUUAUUUGUGAAUUACAGUCAGGUAUUUAUUGAGAUCCUGACAAUUGGUAUCAGAGCAACGUUUGUGCGACCUGUGUGGUAGAGAAUGGCUGACGGAACAAGAGCUAGGAUGGUG
rnacentral:lncRNA from 1 species